UGGGAAAGCCGCGCCAGGGUCCUGAAUGUUGAAUUAUAGGGGUCCGCAGUACUUGGAUUUCAGUUGGUUGUGGCUCCGUGGAGGAGAGGACAGCAAGAUGACCUUGGUUUAAAUCCUGACAGUGAGACUUGCUCACCAAGAGACCUUAGCCCAGCCCUGAUGCAGGCAGCUCAGAUAUGAGAGGCAAGAACCUAAAAGACAUGCCAUGAGGGGCAAAAGAAGACAGUUUUAAAUAUUUUAAAUGAAGCCAGGUCACCCAGUCCAGAGCCCUCGAUCACAAACGAGGCUCAGAAGGUGAAAACGUCCUGGCCAAUGUCAUACAGCCAGUUGCUGAUGGAACGGGGACGUGAACCUGGCCUGGGGACUCCAAAGCCUCCACUCGCUCACCGUCCUCAUUGGCCGCUCAGAUCCCACCAGCGCGGGAGGAGGUGGGCAGUGGGCCAGAGACGUCAUCCCUCUUCCCAGGACAGAGACCGGGGCUGGGGCUUCUGCGCUCGGGGCCUCCUGCGGCCUCAGCACAGACAGAUCCUGAGGGCGGAGCAGGGAAGAGAGCGAGCAGAUGAAGACCUGCCCUGGUGGGAGAGCCAGAUAAUCGCCGAGGUGAAUGGAAGGCCCGGCUGCCUGCAUCUCUCAGCUGGGAG